UACGAAGGGGGCGAGCGUUAUUCGGAAUCACUGGGCGUAAAGCGUGCGUAGGCGGCCUCGCAAGUUAGAAGUGAAAGCCCAGGGCUCAACCCUGGAAUUGCUUUUAAAACUGCAAGGCUAGAAUCUCGGAGAGGAUAGCGGAAUUUCCAGUGUAGCAGUGAAAUGCGUAGAUAUUGGAAGGAACACCAGUGGCGUAAGCGGCUAUCUGGACGAGUAUUGACGCUGAGGCACGAAAGCGUGGGGAUCAAACAGG
rnacentral:rRNA from 1 species